rnacentral:rRNA from 1 species
AUUGAACGCUGGCGGCAGGCCCAACACAUGCAAGUCGAACGAGUGGCGGACGGGUGAGUAAUGUCUGGGACACUGCCCGAUGGAGGGGGAUAACUACUGGAAACGGUAGCUAAUACCGCAUACCAUCAGAUGUGCCCAGAUGGGAUUAGCUAGUAGGUGGGGUAAUGGCUCACCUAGGCGACGAUCCCUAGCUGGUCUGUGAGGAUGACCACCCACACUGGAACUGAGGCACGGUCCAAUCUCCUACGGGAGGCAGCAGUGGGGAAUAUUGCACAAUGGGCUCAAGCCUGAGAUGGCCAUGCCGCGUGUGUUAAGAAGGCCUUCGGUUUUUAAAGUACUUUCAGCGGGGAGGCGUUACCCGCAGAAGAAGCACCGACUAACUCCGUGCCAGCAGCCGCGGUAAUAC